GACCUUCGGCUUUUAUAUCAUUCAUAUCACAAGCGUCUUGUCCCAUUCUUCCUCAAUGGUCGAAAGGCUACAAGCACGACCGUCUAUGAUCCUUCAUUGUGAUAUUACAGUUCAAACGUUUUGCAGAUAUCUUCAACGUGCAACGAAGUAUCAACUAAUGGAUACAUUGAGCGAUUUGAUGUUGGAGCAC